GAUGAACGCUGACAGAAUGCUUAACACAUGCAAGUCAACUUGAAUUUGGGUUUUUAACUUAGGUUUGGGUGGCGGACGGGUGAGUAACGCGUAAAGAACUUGCCUCACAGCUAGGGACAACAUUUGGAAACGAAUGCUAAUACCUAAUAUUAUGAUAAUAGGGCAUCCUAUAAUUAUGAAAGCUAUAAGCGCUGUGAGAGAGCUUUGCGUCCCAUUAGCUAGUUGGAGAGGUAACGGCUCACCAAGGCGAUGAUGGGUAGCCGGCCUGAGAGGGUGAUCGGCCACAAGGGGACUGAGACACGGCCCUUACUCCUACGGGAGGCAGCAGUGGGGAAUAUUGGACAAUAGACCAAGAGUCUGAUCCAGCAAUUCUGUGUGCACGAUGAAGUUUUUCGGAAUGUAAAGUGCUUUCAGUUGGGAAGAAAGAAAUGACGGUACCAACAGAAGAAGUGACGGCUAAAUACGUG
rnacentral:rRNA from 1 species